rnacentral:lncRNA from 1 species
UCUCUGUCUACUCGGACAGAGUCUCCUUUGUAUUUGCACGGCGUACCAACAACAACAUCAGGAUCACAACAACAACCUACAUUUUUCAAUCCACAAGCAAUUUAUGUCAUGCAUUUUCAUAUAGCUAGCGAUCCUUAGAAAUGAUGCAUGCCUCUAAACACUCCUUAGGCGCUUGAUGAUGCGAUGCACAAUACAACAGUCAUCCUAUUUAAAAGUGCUCCCCAACCGGAAGCUUUGUUUUUAAACUCUAUUCAAUCAUUGAUAAAAACCAUUCGAAAAUCUUUUUAAAACUGUUUUCCACUCGGAAACUCUAAUUUGGAAACCAACUACCUCGAGGGGUAGAAAACCACAAUGCAUAAGUCUUAAUACCAAAGAUACAUAAAUCUCCAAUUAUUCAAUAAAUUUCGUUUGCAUGCAUAAUAGGAAAUCACGAACUCAAACAGUUCGCAAAUACUCAAACAUUCAGAGUGAUCAUCUAACUGAACCAUUUAAUUAUUUAAACUAAAAAAUGCAAAAAUAAAAUAUAACCAGGAUGACGGUCGCUACUGCAGUCUAGCUAGUACGUCCUCCUGUCGUGUUCAAAAGCCAACUCCUUACCCGAAUCACCUGAAAAAAUAGGAGGUGAGAAACUACAAUCAAGGUUUUCCAGUAGGUACGAUAGAGCCA